UGCUUGGAAUUGUGGAAGAGGAAAGAAACGAGAGGCCUCAAAUUAAUCACUACCCCUUUACAAUUCACUCUCUCUACUCUCUAGCCCUUGGUUUGUGCUCUUCAUCUCUUGAGUUUGUUUUUUGUUUUGUUUUCUUCUAUUUUGUGACCCCUACAUAUACAUAUAACCCCCCCUUCUUACCUUAUCCUAUCCCUUACUUUCUUCUUCUUCUUCUUCUUCUUCUUCUUCUUUCUUCUCUCUCUUUCUUUAUAAUUCUUUUUUCUUCUUCUUCUUCUUUAUACAACAAACCUUCUUCUUCCAAAUUUUUUGUCCCAAUUCCCUCAUUUGGAAUUAUAACCAAUUUGCAUUCCCUUAUUACUCCUAAUUAUGGCUCCCAAAGCUGGAAAAACUAAGCCCCAUAAGCCUAAAGGAGACAAGAAAAAGAAAGAGGAGAAAGUUUUGCCCACUGUUGUUGAACUAACCGUUGAAACUCCAGAAGACUCUCAAGUGACCCUUAAGGGAAUAUCGACGGACAGGAUCUUGGAUGUGAGAAAGCUGUUGGGAGUGCACGUGGAGACGUGUCAUUUGACGAAUUUCUCCCUAUCGCAUGAGGUUCGAGGAUCGAGCCUAAAAGAUUCGGUGGACAUCAUCUCUCUAAAACCCUGCCACCUAACAAUCCUCCAAGAGGACUACACCGAAGAACUCGCCGUCGCACACAUCCGGCGACUGCUUGAUAUCGUCGCUUGCACCACCUCCUUUGGCGGUUCCUCCAAUUCCCCCAAGUCACCGCCUAGAACCACUCCUAAAGACCUUACCUCCAAAGAAUCUUGUUUAACUGAUUAUGAGGCUGCCCUACCCAGUCCUGAAACCGGAGACAAGAAGGUGGCCACUGGUCCUGGCGAUGGAGCUCAGAAUCUCAGACAUGGACCUAAGGGUCUCAGAUGCCUGGACGGAUCGAACGAUGGUUCGGAAAAAGCUGAUGGCUCUAUUUCAAUGUGCCUGCCGCCGCGGCUUGGCCAGUUUUAUGAGUUCUUCUCCUUCUCUUACCUGACACCACCACUCCAAUACAUUCGGAGAUCAAGUCGACCGUUCCUUGUGGAUAAGACUGAAGAUGAUUUCUUUCAGAUUGAUGUUCGAGUUUGCAAUGGAAAACCAACAACAAUUGUUGCUUCGAGAAAAGGGUUUUACCCGGCUGGGAAGCAUCUUCUUCUUAAUCAUUCCUUGGUGGGACUGUUGCAGCAGAUAAGUAGAGCAUUUGAUGCUGCAUAUAGGGCGCUAAUGAAAGCUUUCACAGAUCACAACAAAUUUGGAAACCUACCUUAUGGUUUUCGGGCAAAUACUUGGGUGGUUCCACCUGUUGUUGCUGAAAACCCAUCUGCUUUCCCCCAACUUCCUGUAGAAGAUGAGAAUUGGGGAGGAAAUGGAGGAGGGCAAGGAAGAGAUGGAAAGCAUAAUCUCAGGCAAUGGGCAAAAGAGUUUGCAAUUCUGGUUGCAAUGCCUUGCAAAACUGCGGAGGAGAGGCAAAUCCGUGAUAGAAAAGCAUUUCUGCUUCACAGUUUAUUUGUCGACGUGUCAGUCUUUAAGGCUAUUGAAGUAAUCAAUCGGCUUAUCGAGAUUAAUCGAUUUCCUGUGAAUGAUCCAAAUGGUUUGGGGUCUCAUGAGGAAGUUGUUGGAGAUUUAAUCAUCAAGGUAACAAGAGAUGUACAAGAUGCGAGCAUAAAAUUGGACCGUAAAAAUGAUGGAAGUUUGGUUCUUGGAGUCUCAAGAGAGGAUCUUUCUCGUAGAAAUUUACUUAAAGGCAUUACUGCUGAUGAGAGUGCCACUGUCCAUGAUACUUCCACAUUGGGGGUUGUGGUCAUUAGACAUUGUGGCUAUACAGCUAUUGUGAAAGUUACAACAGAGGUGAAUUGGGGGGGAAUUCCUCAGGACAUUGACAUUGAAGAUCAACCGGAAGGAGGAGAAAAUGCUCUAAAUGUUAAUAGCUUGAGAAUGUUGCUACACAAGUCAAACACGCCUCAAGCAUCAAAUACUUCCACCCGAUUGCAGACCACAAAUGUUGAUCAUUUACAAUAUUCAAGGACGGUAGUUAGAAAAGUAAUGGAAGAAAGUUUGUUAAGGUUGGAGGAAGAACCUGUCAAAAACUCUAGGUCCAUUAGGUGGGAGCUAGGUGCAUGUUGGGUUCAACAUUUGCAAAAUCAAGCUUCAGGAAAAACUGAGCCUAAGAAAACAGAAGAAACCAAGUUAGAGCCAGUUGUAAAGGGUCUUGGAAAACAAGGUGGACUUUUAAAGGAGAUUAAGAAAAAAACAGACCUUGGAACUAGUAAAGUAGAACCUGGGAAGGAAGUUGAUCCCACUAACCAAAAGGAAAUGGAGAAACAAGAUGAUGAUAAGGAACAGAUGUGGAAAAUGUUGCUUCCUGAAUCUGCUUAUUUGCGAUUGAAAGAAUCAGAAACCGGUCUUCACAAAAAGUCACCAGAGGAGUUGAUUGAUAUGGCUCAUAAUUAUUAUGCUGAUACUGCCCUUCCGAAACUGGUUUCAGACUUUGGAUCCCUUGAACUCUCACCUGUUGAUGGAAGGACGUUGACAGAUUUCAUGCACACCCGGGGGUUGCAAAUGUGUUCAUUGGGCCGUGUGGUUGAACUUGCAGAUAAGCUUCCACAUGUGCAAUCUUUAUGUAUACACGAAAUGAUUGUUCGGGCUUAUAAACACAUAUUGCAAGCAGUUAUAGCUGCAGUCAAUUUUUCUGACUUGGCCACAUCAAUAGCAUCGUGUCUAAAUGUGUUGUUGGGUACACCUUCAGUUGAAGAUGAAACCGAUUGGAAGGAUGAUUGUGAUUUGAAAUGGAAGUGGGUGAAAACAUUCCUUCUAAAGAGAUUUGGAUGGCAAUGGAAAUAUGACAGCAGCUCUCAAGAUCUCAGAAAAUAUGCUAUCCUUCGAGGAUUAUGUCACAAGGUUGGGUUAGAGCUUGUUCCCAGAGAUUAUAAUAUGGAAAGUGCUUCACCUUUCAAAAAGUCAGAUAUUAUUAGUAUGGUCCCUGUGUACAAGCACGUUGCAUGUUCGUCCGCAGAUGGGCGUACACUGUUGGAAUCUUCCAAAACUUCCUUGGAUAAAGGGAAAUUGGAGGAUGCUGUUAAUUAUGGUACAAAGGCACUCGCGAAACUUGUCUCUGUUUGUGGUCCGUAUCAUCGAAUGACUGCUGGAGCAUAUAGUCUUCUGGCAGUAGUGCUUUAUCAUACAGGGGAUUUUAAUCAGGCAACCAUAUAUCAGCAAAAGGCUUUGGAUAUUAAUGAGAGAGAACUUGGACUUGACCACCCUGAUACAAUGAAAAGUUACGGAGAUCUAGCUGUUUUCUAUUAUCGACUUCAACACACAGAACUGGCAUUGAAGUAUGUGAACCGAGCUUUGUACCUUUUGCAUUUGACGUGUGGACCUUCUCAUCCAAACACGGCAGCUACUUACAUCAACGUAGCAAUGAUGGAAGAAGGUUUAGGAAAUGUGCAUGUUGCUUUAAGAUACCUGCAUGAGGCUUUAAAGUGCAACCAAAGACUUCUAGGGGCUGAUCACAUACAGACUGCUGCAAGCUACCACGCGAUAGCGAUUGCUCUAUCUUUAAUGGAAGCAUACUCGCUAAGUGUUCAGCAUGAGCAAACCACAUUGCAAAUACUACAGGCCAAACUUGGAUCUGAGGAUUUGCGUACUCAGGACGCAGCAGCAUGGCUUGAGUACUUCGAAUCGAAGGCCUUGGAGCAGCAGGAAGCUGCACGAAAUGGCACCCCUAAGCCGGAUGCUUCCAUCUCCAGUAAAGGUCAUUUAAGUGUGUCAGACCUCUUGGAUUAUAUAGCCCCAGAUGCAGAUUUAAAAGCCAGAGAUGCUCAGAGGAAGGCUCGUGCCAAGAUCAAAGGAAAAUCGGGUCAGUACACAGAAACAGGUGCUGAAGAAUUUCAUAAGGAUGAAGAUUUGUCGCCAAAUUACUCUGCCAUCGAGAGUCCAAGUGAUAAAGAAAACAAAUCUCAAGAAGCCCUGUUGGAGGAACAAGUAAUUGAAAAAUCUGAUACGGUUCUAUUUGAUGUUACAAAGCUUAAUAAAAAUAUUGACCAAGUGCAAGACGAGGCCUCAGAUGGUGGCUGGCAAGAGGCAGUUCCUAAAGGCCGUUCUGUAUUAGGUCGCAAGUCAUCAGGUUCAAAGAGGCCAAGCUUGGCAAAAUUAAAUACUAAUUUCAUAAACACAUCUCAAUCAUCAAGAUACAGGGGAAAGCCUAAUAGCUUUGUAUCACCUAGAACCAACUCAAGUGAAUCUACAGCUUCAGUUGGCUCAUCCGUUCCCAUUCCACAUAAAUUGACUAAGAGUGGAAGCUUCAGUUCUAAGCCUACUAGUAACCCUUUCAGUCCAGGCAGUACUGAAAAACCAUCUGACCCCUCCAAAUCAGCUCCAUGUUCUCCUGCCAUAACCGAUCAAGUAGCAAAAUCUUCAUCUAUAUCUGCUUCAGGAAGUGUUCAGGUAGCUGGAAAACUUUUAUCAUACAAAGAAGUUGCGUUGGCUCCACCUGGAACUAUUGUAAAGGCAGCAACAGAGCAGCUGGCAAAAGGCCCUACUCUUGUUGAAGUGAGUUCACAGGAAAUCCAGGAGAAAGUUACCACUGAACUCACUGUUGGUGAGGUAGCCACUAUAAAAGAUGAAGAGGAUGUGAAAGCUGAAAGAAUUGGUGUAGAAAAAAAAAGCGAAGGCCUUGUCAAUGAGAUUAUAGAAACAGACAAACAGGAAUCCAUAUCUCACCAACUCCAGGAGGAGGAUGUGACUUCUUCUGUGGAAAAUAGAACGGUGGGAGAUGAUGAAUUACAGGUGAUCAACAAGCCUAGUGAUGAAAUAGAAGUUGAAAGCUCCAAGGCUUCAAUACAAAUAGAAGCAGGUAUUUCUGUUUCCCCAGAAAGUGAUUGUACUUCAGGUGAAGAAAAUUCAUCUGUUUCAAAAGAGAAGGCAAAUGAAAAUGAUUUACCAGUUGAUAGUGUUGAUGUUAAGCCAACACCAACUGAAGUAGAAAAGCAAGAUGAAGUAGAAGGUGGGAAGGAGACUACUAAGAAACUUUCUGCUACUGCACCUCCGUUUAAUCCAUCUACAAUUCCUGUCUUUGGAUCGGUUUCAGGUCCAGGAUUUAAAGAUCAUGGAGGCAUUUUACCUCCACCUAUUAAUAUUCCUCCAAUGCUUACCGUUAAUCCAGUUCGCAGAUCACCACAUCAGUCAGCAACAGCCAGGGUCCCCUAUGGUCCACGAUUAUCUGGAGGCUACAAUAGAUCUGGUAAUCGGAUCCCCCGUAAUAAGCAAAUUUCGCAAAAUAGUGAUCACAGUGCAGAUGGGACUCUCUUCAAUGCUUCUAGAAUUAUGAAUCCCCUUGCAGCUGAGUUUGUACCUGGUCACCCUUGGGUUCCAAAUGGCUAUCCAGUAUCUCCAAAUGCGUAUUUGGCUUCCCCAAAUGGUUACCCAUUUCCCCCCAAUGGUAUUCUGCUGUCUCCAACUGGUUAUCCAGCACCGGUUAACGGUAUUCCUGUGACUCAAAAUGGAAGUCCUGUAGAUGCAUCACCACCAGGUUUAGAUGACGAUUCUGAAACAAAAACUGAGACUGAAGAUGAAACAAACAAUGACUUAACUAAUUCUUCAACUGAUAUUGAAUGUGAAAAUCAAAAAGAAAUGGAUCCAAAGCCAGAUGUUAAAUCUGUAGAAACCGAUCACUCGCAUUCUAAUGUUCAAGAAAAGCUCCAUGACUCUGCUCCAGUGGCUGCCACUGAUUCUGUUGCAACAAAAGAAGUUUCCCAAGACACAGUUGAGGAGAAAAAAUCCAAAAAGCGCUGGGGAGAUUCUAGUGACAAUGAAGAGGUUUCUAAUUGAAGGAGAAUCACCAGUUUUGUAUUUAUCUCGGAUAAUUUUUUUUCACAAAUCUUCCCGACGUUUCUUUUGCUGUAGUACAAGCAGCUGCAAUCGAGGCUAUGUGAAUACACGUGCAGUUUAGUUUCUUAAUCUGUAAAUUCUUCUCCUCAACUCCGGCCAUAAUUUCAACCAAAACUGGAAACGUUGCUUGGAUGAUUUAUACUCUUCACAGAUCAUUCCUAAACCAAUAACUCCAUGGAAGACUGCCUGAUGUGAUGAAUACUCAUGUUCUGUGGGCAACUUCCAUCGGACUGAUCCAUCAAGAUCGUCUCAAGAAAUCUGGUUUUAUGACCUUUUCUAUUUACGAGCAACAUGAGAUGCUUGAAUGCGUUUAGAGUUUAGUGUUAAAGUAUUCUUUUUUAAAGACUUGCAAUUUUUAAACCUUCAAUUUCUUCGACUUCGUGAACACGAGUUUGUAAAAUAAGCUAAUUUGAGUCUUACUGGAAAGCAAUUGGAAGAUAUGAACUGAUUACUUUUAA